GACGAACGCUGGCGGCGUGCUUAACACAUGCAAGUCGAACGGAAAGGCCCUGCUUUUGUGGGGUUCUCGAGUGGCGAACGGGGGAGUAACACGUGUGUAACCUGCCCUUGACUUUGGGAUAACUUCAGGAAACUGGGGCUAUUACCGGAUAGGAGCUUCUGCUGCAUGGGGGUGGUUGGAAAGUUUCGGCGGUUGGGGAUGGACUCGCGGCUUAUCAGCUUGUUGGUGGGGUAGUGGCUUACCAAGGCUUUGAGGGGUAGCCGGCCUGAGAGGGUGACCGGGCACAUUGGGCCUGCGAUAGGCCCCAGACGCCUACGGGCGGCAGCGGUGGGGAGUAUUGCACAAUGGGCGCACGCCAGAUGCAGAAACGCCGCGUGCGGGAUGCCGGCCUUCGGGUUGUAAACAGCUUUCGCCUGUGCCGAAGCGUGCGUGACGGUAAUGGGUAAAGAAGCACCGGCUAACUACGUG
rnacentral:rRNA from 1 species